UACAGAGGGUGCGAGCGUUGUCCGGAAUCACUGGGCGUAAAGGGCGCGUAGGUGGCGAACCAAGUCGAUGGUGAAAGCUCGCCGCUCAACGGCGAGUCGGCCACCGAUACUGGGUUGCUUGAGCACUGUAGAGGCUAAUGGAAUUCCGGGUGUAGCGGUGGAAUGCGUAGAGAUCCGGAAGAACACCUGUGGCGAAGGCGGUUAGCUGGGCAGUUGCUGACACUGAGGCGCGACAGCGUGGGGAGCAAACAGG
rnacentral:rRNA from 1 species